rnacentral:rRNA from 1 species
AGUGAACGCUGGCGGUAGGCCUAACACAUGCAAGUCGAACGGCAGCACAGUAAGAGCUUGCUCUUACGGGUGGCGAGUGGCGGACGGGUGAGGAAUACAUCGGAAUCUACUUUUUCGUGGGGGAUAACGUAGGGAAACUUACGCUAAUACCGUAUACGACCUACGGGUGAAAGCAGGGGAUCUUCGGACCUUGCGCGAUUGAAUGAGCCGAUGUCGGAUUAGCUAGUUGGCGGGGUAAAGGCCCACCAAGGCGACGAUCCGUAGCUGGUCUGAGAGGAUGAUCAGCCACACUGGAACUGAGACACGGUCCAGACUCCUACGGGAGGCAGCAGUGGGGAAUAUUGGACAAUGGGCGCAAGCCUGAUCCAGCCAUACCGCGUGGGUGAAGAAGGCCUACGGGUUGUAAAGCCCUUUUGUUGGGAAAGAAAAGCAGCAGGUUAAUACCCCGCUGUUCUGACGGUACCCAAAGAAUAAGCACCGGCUAACUUCGUG